CUCACCACGUCCUCCCCAGACCCUUGGUCCCCCUGGCUGAGCUCUGGGCUUCGUAACCACUAGCCCUGCACCCAUCUCUUGCAACGGAGUGUUGAUGCUUUUUCUUUCCUCUGGGCUCGAACAGAAUGUCAGCACAGACAGAGCAUGGGAGCUGGAGUUCUCCAACCCUCUGGUGAAUCAGGUGGCAUUUACAGGGGUGCGACGAGGACGCCUCCUGCCACUUUUCUGCUUUGCUCUUGGGAACAGCAUGCCCGAGGAAUGUUAAGGAACUGAGCGCCGGUUACAGUAAAAAUGGGCCGUGGACCGGCAAUUAGAAAAAUGCUUUUACAAGGCAGAGUUGGGAGAAGGGAUGAAUCAUCUUACUCUGCUCCAUUCCCCUUUGGGGGCUGGGCGGGGGGGGGGGGGGGUGACUCGCUGUCACAGAGAGCUGGGAUGGCUGUCACCGAGCCCGGGAGGAAAGCCUUUCUAAGGAUCUGGGCUCUAUUGUUGGUCUUUUUCUUGAAAACACUGAAACUGAAGUGUUGGCUGACGCCAUUUGGAGAAGUGUAAUUUGUUGCUGCCUCAAAGAUUUUAUUCAUCCUGAACCCCAAGAGGAAGGCCCUCUUCCAAGAAACGAGCAACUAUGUAUCUGAAAGCACUUCAAUGAGCAAAAACAACCC